rnacentral:rRNA from 1 species
GGAGGGUGCAAGCGUUAUCCGGAUUCACUGGGUUUAAAGGGUGCGUAGGCGGAAUUGUAAGUCCGUGGUGAAAUCUCCAAGCUUAACUUGGAAACUGCCAUGGAUACUAUAGUUCUUGAAUGUUGUGGAGGUUUGCGGAAUAUGUCAUGUAGCGGUGAAAUGCUUAGAUAUGACAUAGAACACCGAUUGCGAAGGCAGCAGGCUACACAAAUAUUGACGCUGAGGCACGAAAGCGUGGGGAUCAAACAGGAUUAGAUACCCUGGUAGUCCACGCCCUAAACGAUGAUUACUCGACAUUUGCGAUAUACAGUAAGUGUCUGAGCGAAAGCAUUAAGUAAUCCACCUGGGAAGUACGACCGCAAGGUUG